rnacentral:rRNA from 1 species
ACCAUGCAAGUCGAGCGGUAGAGAGAAGCUUGCUUCUCUUGAGAGCGGCGGACGGGUGAGUAAUGCCUAGGAAUCUGCCUGGUAGUGGGGGAUAACGUUCGGAAACGGACGCUAAUACCGCAUACGUCCUACGGGAGAAAGCAGGGGACCUUCGGGCCUUGCGCUAUCAGAUGAGCCUAGGUCGGAUUAGCUAGUUGGUGGGGUAAUGGCUCACCAAGGCGACGAUCCGUAACUGGUCUGAGAGGAUGAUCAGUCACACUGGAACUGAGACACGGUCCAGACUCCUACGGGAGGCAGCAGUGGGGAAUAUUGGACAAUGGGCGAAAGCCUGAUCCAGCCAUGCCGCGUGUGUGAAGAAGGUCUUCGGAUUGUAAAGCACUUUAAGUUGGGAGGAAGGGUUGUAGAUUAAUACUCUGCAAUUUUGACGUUACCGACAGAAUAAGCACCGGCUAACUCUGUGCCAGCAGCCGCGGUAAUACAGAGGGUGCAAGCGUUAAUCGGAAUUACUGGGCGUAAAGCGCGCGUAGGUGGUUUGUUAAGUUGGAUGUGAAAUCCCCGGGCUCAACCUGGGAACUGCAUUCAAAACUGACUGACUAGAGUAUGGUAGAGGGUGGUGGAAUUUCCUGUGUAGCGGUGAAAUGCGUAGAUAUAGGAAGGAACACCAGUGGCGAAGGCGACCACCUGGACUAAUACUGACACUGAGGU